GCCAAGUUCAGCUGUCAGAACCUCAGAGCUGGGAAAUCUUGAGAUUUCUUUUGAAAUGCCUGAGCCUGCCCUGACAUCGCUUACCUGGAGAAGCAGGGAAUGCAGAGGAAAGAUGAGAUCUGGUAUUAGAAGAUCUGGCUUUGAGCCCCAGCUCUGCCACCCACCAGCCUGUUGACUUUGGAGAUACUGUUUCGAAUAAUUGGCUUGUUGGGGUACAAUUCACAGUUGAUAUAUUACAGGAUCUAAAUAGACAGGUAGGUUUUGUUAAAGCCCAGGACACAGGU
rnacentral:lncRNA from 1 species